ensembl:lncRNA novel transcript, antisense to DDX25
AGAGAGAAGAGUAAGCUUUCAUGGGGGUUGCACCUGCAGGAGCAGCUACCACUCCAGGGCUGGAGAACCCUAAGGAAGAGUUUUGAAGGAGGGUUCCAGAGCCUGUGACCCAGACAUCUGAGGAGGGGGCUCAACUCAGCGGGAGCUGGGGUCUCCGGGUGUGAAGAAAGGACUCCUGCACCCAGACCUCUGCGGAAGGGGCACCUGCCAGCUGGUGCUGGGGUCUCUCAGGCUUCAUUUGCAUCAGAGGUGGGACAGCUUGUUACAUAUCACCCUUGGCUGUGAUCAUAGCCUCAGAUGCUUCUCAACUGGAGCAAACUCAAGCAGGCUGUUUGAAAACAUUUUGAAAACCUCCCAGCCAGAAACCUUGUUCCAGCAGUGCAGAGCAGCUCAGGCCCAGAUUCUGCCCUGUGGGCGGAGAAACGGUAGCUGGACUAGAAAACCUCAGGUAGAUUCUAGCACCAAGCUCGGUUCUCAGAACUACAUUUCCCACAAACUUGGACUACACCUCCCAUGA